rnacentral:lncRNA from 1 species
AAGAAAAAAAUAACCCUUCUUUUGCGACAUGUAUAAAAGCUCUCACACCUAUCAAUAAGGAUUUGAAUGUACUAGACUUAUGUAUUUUUAUUUGACUAACAAAAUUUGAGGUUAAACUAUUAAAAAAAUUAAGGUUAUGAGAAAUAUAAUCCAUUUGAGGAUUAUACUUUUCUAUCCAAGAUAAUCCUAAAAUAAUCAAAUUACACAAAGAUCUUAUUAAAUUAAAUAUUAUUAUGCUAUUAUGAUCUUUAAUUGUUACAUCUAAAGAAACAGUCUCAUGCGUAAUAUCUCCAAAAGAUAAC